UGGUAGUGAUAUCGUUAGUUGAGGUCCUUCGAUGCAGUCUUCGUAGUAGAAAGGUUUACAGUGACCUGUCUGUUGACUAUUUAAAGAUGUUCAUGUUGUAUGUCCCUGCAACUGUUGUUGCAUUAGGCUUGUUUUUCUUCUUGGAUGAUUUGACUGGAUUUGAAAUAACAUAUCUUCUGGAGCUUCUAGAACCAUUCAGCUUCAUCUUCACAUGGUUUGCUGCGGUGCCAUUCAUAGUCUGGUUAGCUUAGUCUUUCACAAAUGCA